rnacentral:rRNA from 1 species
CAGUAGCCGCGGUAAUACGGAGGAUCCAAGCGUUAUCCGGAUUUAUUGGGUUUAAAGGGUGCGUAGGUGGCCUGUUAAGUCAGGGGUGAAAGACGGUAGCUUAACUAUCGCAGUGCCUUUGAUACUGACGGGCUUGAAUACACUAGAGGUAGGCGGAAUGUGACAAGUAGCGGUGAAAUGCAUAGAUAUGUCACAGAACACCAAUUGCGAAGGCAGCUUACUAUGGUGUCAUUGACACUGAGGCACGAAAGCGUGGGGAUCAAACAGGAUUAGAUACCCUGGUAGUCCCUGUCCUUAUACA